CAAUAGCGUAUAUUUAAGUUGUUGCAGUUAAAAAGCUCGGAGUUGGAUUUCGGAUGGGACUUGCCGGUCCGUCGUUUCGAUGUGCACUGGCCAGUCCUAUCUUGUUGUCGGGGACUAGCUCCUGGGCUUCACUGUCCGGGACUAGGAGCUGACGAGGUUACUUUGAGUAAAUUAGAGUGUUCAAAGCAAGCCUACGCUCUGAAUACAUUAGCAUGGAAUAACACGAUAGGACUCUGGCUUAUCUUGUUGGUCUGUGAGACCAGAGUAAUGAUUAAGAGGGACAGUCGGGGGCAUUCGUAUUUCAUUGUCAGAGGUGAAAUUCUUGGAUUUAUGAAAGACGAACUUCUGCGAAAGCAUUUGUCAAGGAUGUUUUCAUUAA
rnacentral:rRNA from 1 species